AGAGUUUGAUCCUGGCUCAGAAUCAACGCUGGCGGCGUGCCUAACACAUGCAAGUCGAGCGAGAAAGUGGUAGUAAUACCAUGAGUAAAGCGGCGCACGGGUGAGUAACACGUGACUAACCUACCCUGGAGUGGGGAAUAACUGAGGGAAACCUUAGCUAAUACCGCAUAAUACCUACGGGUCAAAGGAGCAAUUCGCUCUGGGAGGGGGUCGCGGCCGAUUAGUUAGUUGGCGGGGUAAUGGCCCACCAAGACGAUGAUCGGUAUCCGGCCUGAGAGGGCGCACGGACACACUGGAACUGAAACACGGUCCAGACUCCUACGGGAGGCAGCAGUGGGGAAUUUUGCGCAAUGGGGGAAACCCUGACGCAGCAACGCCGCGUGGAGGAUGAAGUCCUUCGGGACGUAAACUCCUUUCGAUCGGGACGAUAAUGACGGUACCGGAAGAAGAAGCCCCGGCUAACUUCGUGCCAGCAGCCGCGGUAAUACGAGGGGGGCGAGCGUUGUUCGGAAUUAUUGGGCGUAAAGGGUGCGUAGGCGGUUUGGUAAGUCUUCUGUGAAAUCUAUGGGCUCAACUCAUAGACUGCAUGAGAAACUGCCGGGCUUGAGUGUGGGAGAGGUGAGUGGAAUUUCCGGUGUAGCGGUGAAAUGCGUAGAUAUCGGAAGGAACACCUGUGGCGAAAGCGGCUCACUGGACCACAACUGACGCUGAUGCACGAAAGCUAGGGGAGCAAACAGGAUUAGAUACCCCCGUAGUCC
rnacentral:rRNA from 1 species